GGGUUUUCCCAGAAUCAUUGAAUCUGACAAUGGUCCACACUUCAUUGGAGAAGUACUUAAAGAAAUGUGUAAAUUGUUGGGGAUCCAACAAAGAUUUCAUGUCCCAUAUCAUCCACAGUCGGCUGGCAUAGUGGAAAGAAUGAAUAGGACACUGAAAUCUAGAUUGAAAAAAAUGCUUGAAGAUAAGGGGAGUAGUUGGGUAACACACUUACCAGGAGUUUUAAUGUCUAUUCGUGCAACUCCAAACUCCAAAACGCAAGUGUCACCUCAUGAGUUAAUGACAGGCAGAACCAUGCCAAUUACUUUCCCCAAUGAACCUUUUGUUCCAAGUACUUUCAAAGUUGCUGCAGAACAUGCUGAAUGGUUAAAAGUGUUACAUGAACAGCUGCAGU